AAGGGCUAACGGUGGAUACCUAGGCACACAGAGGCGAAGAAGGACGUAGUUACCGACGAUACGCUCCGGGGAGCUGGAAGCAAGCAUUGAGCCGGAGGUUUCCGAAUGGGGCAACCCCAAGAACGGUCACCUGAAUCUAUAGGG
rnacentral:rRNA from 1 species